rnacentral:rRNA from 1 species
AUGAAUGCUGGCGGCGUGCCUAACACAUGCAAGUCGAGCGGCAGCGCGGAUAGUUUACUAUCUGGCGGCGAGCGGCGGACGGCUGAGUAACGCGUGGGAACGUACCCCAAAGUGAGGAAUAACCGCCCGAAAGGGUGGCUAAUGCCGCAUAUGAUCUUCGGAUUAAAGGAUUUAUCCGCUUUGGGAACGGCCUGCGUACGAUUAGAUAGUUGGUGAGGUAAAGGCUCACCAAGUCGACGAUCGUUAACUGGUCUGAGAGGAUGAUCAGUCAGACUGGAACUGAGACACGGUCCAGACUCCUACGGGAGGCAGCAGUGAGGAAUCUUCCACAAUGGGCGAAAGCCUGAUGGAGCAACGCCGCGUGCAGGAUGAAGGCCUUCGGGUCGUAAACUGCUUUUAAAAGUGAAGAAUAUGACGGUAGCUUUUGAAUAAGCACCGGCUAACUACGU